UACGGGGGGAGCAAGCGUUGUUCGGAUUUACUGGGCGUAAAGGGCGCGUAGGCGGCCACCGCAAGUCGAUUGUGAAAUCUCCGGGCUUAACCCGGAAAGGUCAACCGAUACUGCGGGGCUAGAGUGCAGAAGGGGCAACUGGAAUUCUCGGUGUAGCGGUGAAAUGCGUAGAUAUCGAGAGGAACACCUGCGGCGAAGGCGGGUUGCUGGGCUGACACUGACGCUGAAGUGCGAAAGCUAGGGGAGCGAACCGG
rnacentral:rRNA from 1 species